UGCUUGCACCGGGGAUUAGUGGCGAACGGGUGAGUAACACGUGAGUAACCUGCCCUUAACUCUGGGAUAAGCCUGGGAAACUGGGUCUAAUACCGGAUAUGACUGAUCAUCGCAUGGUGGUUGGUGGAAAGCUUUUUGUGGUUUUGGAUGGACUCGCGGCCUAUCAGCUUGUUGGUGAGGUAAUGGCUUACCAAGGCGACGACGGGUAGCCGGCCUGAGAGGGUGACCGGCAACACUGGGACUGAGACACGGCCCAGAAUCAUACGGGAGGCAGCAGUGGGGAAUAUUGCACAAUGGGCGCAAGCCUGAUGCAGCGACGCCGCGUGAGGGAUGACGGCCUUCGGGUUGUAAACCUCUUUCAGUAGGGAAGAAGCGAAAGUGACGGUACCUGCAGAAGAAGCGCCGGCUAACUACGUGCCAGCAGCCGCGGUAAUACGUAGGGCGCAAGCGUUAUCCGGAAUUAUUGGGCGUAAAGAGCUCGUAGGCGGUUUGUCGCGUCUGCCGUGAAAGUCCGGGGCUCAACUCCGGAUCUGCGGUGGGUACGGGCAGACUAGAGUGAUGUAGGGGAGACUGGAAUUCCUGGUGUAGCGGUGAAAUGCGCAGAUAUCAGGAGGAACACCGAUGGCGAAGGCAGGUCUCUGGGCAUUAACUGACGCUGAGGAGCGAAAGCAUGGGGAGCGAACAGGAUUAGAUACCCUGGUAGUCCAUGCCGUAAACGUUGGGCACUAGGUGUGGGGGACAUUCCACGUUUUCCGCGCCGUAGCUAACGCAUUAAGUGCCCCGCCUGGGGAGUACGGCCGCAAGGCUAAAACUCAAAGGAAUUGACGGGGGCCCGCACAAGCGGCGGAGCAUGCGGAUUAAUUCGAUGCAACGCGAAGAACCUUACCAAGGCUUGACAUGA
rnacentral:rRNA from 1 species